CUGCUGUGCUUCAGCUAGUGUUUUUGCCUUCCUCAUUAUAUUACUGUGUCUUUGAGAAACAGCUGAGUUUCUUCUAUUUAAGAUGUUUUUUGCUGGCAGGUUGGAUCUGACUCCUUUCUGAAAGGGCUGAUUGAAGGGCACCAGGAUCAGGUGAACUUCAGAACAGGUUUCUAGAGCUGUAAGAGAAGGCACCGCGUCACUGAGAUACAUGAACCUACAGCAACCAACAGCAACAUGGAUGACUGUUCCCCUCACGCCUCUGGGCUUUGUCUUUGCCACGAAUGUAAACCCGCUGUUCAUAGUACAGUUGCUGGAGUCAAAAGGUUGUUGGAUUCCCCAGAGAAGGUUGAGGUCCUGCAGUCAGCUAAGAAAGGUUGUGUGUCAAGGCAUGGUUCUGGCACUUCAGAUCCAUCAGAGAAAUCGUUGUGCUCUUCCCCAGGCUCUGCCUCCUUUCAAGGUUCCUUGCACUUUCUGGAUGAUACUGGCCAUGAUGACCUUGUUGCCAGUUCUUCUGUGCCAAAAUACGAUGAUGUAGUCAUUUCUCUAGAUAUAACCAGAUAUUUUGGUGAUAGUGAUGACUCCUUGUUGGAACUGUCAGACGGUGAAGAAGGGAAUUCUUCUUUCACUUACACUGAGGAAGAGAUCCAGGAAAUCCUGGCAGAUGAUUGUGUGGAAUCUGAGCAGUGCCUAACUAGAAAAAGCAGUCUGAGCCAAAAUAUAAAUGAAGAGAGUGAAAAGGAUGAGAGCAGCAGCUACUCUGGGGCAUCAGUCAUCAGCGAAGAUGCAAAUGAAGAGUCAAAGAUCGCAGAGAAACCAAAUGACUCUGUGUCCAGAGAGUGUUUUUCAGUCAGCUCUGAAUGCUCUCCUAGCCCUUUGAAUGGAAGCGCCAGUUCGGAUGAGAACCAUCUGCAGUCAGCUCAGGUAACUCGCAUGUUGUUUGACCUUGACAUUCAGGAGCUUCUGAGUCUUAGCCCUAUUCAUGCUGAUGAUGUAGAUGAGUCUCAGGAGGUCAAUACUUUGGAGGAAGCUGAAAGAGAAGCUUCAGAAGGAAUCAUAAAUGAUUGCCUCGAGUAUGCUAAAACUGAUAGUAGCUGUGUUCUCGAAGACUCUUUAGAGGGGCUGAUGUCUAAUGACUGGCAAAGCCUGGAUGUGGACGGCCUGGGAAAGACUCCCUUUACCAGCAAAGAUGUGUCCCACUUCAGUGGUCAUCCUGUGGGAAGAUCCACGCCCUCUUCUGACCUGGCCCGUGACCAGAGGACAGCUGAUGAGAGCUCAGCACCCGUGUUGCUGAGGUGUCCCAUGCCACUUUCUGGAAUCCUAAACCAAGAACUUCCCAAAGCAACAAAGAGCUGUUUUUCAAGGAAAUCAGACUCUCUGGAGGAUGAUGAGGGGGAAUCUACAGAAGCUGAGCAGCCAUCAAACAGCAUUAAAUUAAGUGAUACAGCUGUAGGCCAGAUUGAGCAAGAAGAGACAACCAGUGGGAAGAAGCCUGGCAAAGUUAUUCCAGUGCCACAGGAGGUGGAAGAAAGACUGAAUCAACGGACACGCAUUUUGGAAGCGGAGCUGGGCCAGAGAAACAUUUCUAUCCAGACUGUGUGCAUCUAUACAAAGGAAACUGACUCCUACACCAAGUAACCCCCAGAUGGGAUGGGGUAAGGCUGGACUGGUGGGAGGGCAGAGUGGAGUAUGGAUACCAUAGCAGGAGCCCUGGCUUGCUGCACUUGUAUUCUUGGACAUUUUGCAUAUACUUCUUUUUUAGAGGGAAAUAAAAUGACCUGCUACACUGGCUAGUGCUGCCUC
rnacentral:lncRNA from 1 species